rnacentral:rRNA from 1 species
GAUGAACGCUGGCGGCGUGCUUAACACAUGCAAGUCGAACGAUGAAAGCGGGAGCUUGCUCCUGCUGGAUUAGUGGCGAACGGGUGAGUAACACGUGAGUAACCUGCCCUUGACUCUGGGAUAAGCGUUGGAAACGACGUCUAAUACCGGAUACGACCUUCGGAGGCAUCUCCUGGGGGUGGAAAGAAUUUCGGUCAAGGAUGGACGCGCGGCCUAUCAGCUAGUUGGUGAGGUAAUGGCUCACCAAGGCGACGACGGGUAGCCGGCCUGAGAGGGUGCCCGGCCACACUGGGACUGAGACACGGCCCAGACGCCUACGGGAGGCAGCAGUGGGGAAUAUUGCACAAUGGGCGAAAGCCUGAUGCAGCAACGCCGCGUGAGGGACGACGGCCUUCGGGUUGUAAACCUCUUUUAGUAGGGAAGAAGCGAAAGUGACGGUACCUGCAGAAAAAGCACCGGCUAACUACGUGCCAGCCGCCGCGGUAACAC